rnacentral:rRNA from 1 species
CUAAGGUAGCGAAAUUCCUUGUCGGGUAAGUUCCGACCUGCACGAAUGGCGUAACGACUUCCCCGCUGUCUCCAACAUCGACUCAGCGAAAUUGAAUUGCCGGUCAAGAUGCCGGCUACCCGCGGUUAGACGGAAAGACCCCGUGCACCUUCACUACAGCUUCGCAUUGGCAUCAGGCACAACAUGUGCAGGAUAGGUGGUAGGCUUCGAAGCAGGGACGCCAGUCCCUGUGGAGCCUCCCUUGAGAUACCACCCUUGCUUUGCUUGAUGUCUAACCGCGGUCCGUUAUCCGGAUCCGGGACCCUGCGUGGUGGGUAGUUUGACUGGGGCGGUCGCCUCCUAAAGAG